rnacentral:rRNA from 1 species
GACGAACGCUGGCGGCGUGCUUAACACAUGCAAGUCGAACGAAGAGCGAUGGAAGCUUGCUUCUAUCAAUCUUAGUGGCGAACGGGUGAGUAACGCGUAAUCAACCUUCCCUUCAGAGGGGGACAACAGUUGGAAACGACUGCUAAUACCGCAUACGAUCUAAUCUCGGCAUCGAGGAAAGAUGAAAGGUGGCCUCUAUUUAUAAGCUAUCACUGAAGGUGGGGAUUGCGUCUGAUUAGCUAGUUGGAGGGGUAACGGCCCACCAAGGGGAUGAUCAGUAGCCGGUCUGAGAGGAAGAACGGCAACAUUGGGACCGGGACACGGCCCAGACUCCUACGGGAGGCAGCAGUGGGGAAUCUUCCGCAAUGGACGAAAGUCUGACGGAGCAACGCCGCGUGAGUGAUGACGGCCUUCGGGUUGUAAAGCUCUGUUAAUCGGGACGAAAGGCCUUCUUGCGAACAGUUAGAAGGAUUGACGGUACCGGAAUAGAAAGCCACGGCUAACUACGUG